GAUGAACGCUGGCGGCGUGCCUAAUACAUGCAAGUCGAGCGAAUGGAUUGAGAGCUUGCUCUCAAGAAGUUAGCGGCGGACGGGUGAGUAACACGUGGGUAACCUGCCCAUAAGACUGGGAUAACCCCGGGAAACCGGGGCUAAAUACCGGAUAAUAUUUUGAACUGCAUGGUUCGAAAUUGAAAGGCGGCUUCGGCUGUCACUUAUGGAUGGACCCGCGUCGCAUUAGCUAGUUGGUGAGGUAACGGCUCACCAAGGCAACGAUGCGUAGCCGACCUGAGAGGGUGAUCGGCCACACUGGGACUGAGACACGGCCCAGACUCCUACGGGAGGCAGCAGUAGGGAAUCUUCCGCAAAUGGACGAAAAGUCUGACGGAGCAAACGCCGCGUGAGUGAUGAAGGCUUUCGGGUCGUAAAACUCUGUUGUUAGGGUAAGGAACAAAGUGCU
rnacentral:rRNA from 1 species